ensembl:lncRNA
CUGUAUGUGUGUUUGCCAAGAGACAGAAUAUCUAUGUAAGUAUACACGAAAGAAGCUGGUAAGAGUCAUUGACUCGGGGAGACCCGGAUAGCUCAGAACAAGUCCGACCAGACUACAUGCGACUCAGGACAACAAACAGCCUGCGUGCUGGUAUGACACGCUACCAAGAAGCUGAAGGGCCGAAUAUUCCACAGAUUUCAACAACUGGCAUUUAUUGCCAACAAAAGAAACUGACCCUAGCUAACCUGAGCACAAAAUAGAAUUUCUUCCAGGCAGAUGUGGUCGCUUACAUCAUCAAAAGGAACCAGAACAGCCAGGGCUCAGAGAACAGGGGCAGCCAGGUUAACUGGGGAGGAGACACAAAUGCGCCCUGUCGCUAAGGCUCUACUGUCAAAAUGAAUCAGCCGCGGACUAUUUCCAUCAGUGUAUCACUCCACUCAAGACUCAGGCACAGGGAGAGAGAGAGCCUGUGGUCCACCCUGGGUCACGUGCCCAUGCGCCGGCAGGGGAGAGGAAGGCUCCUUAAUUGAGUGCAUGCAAGGCUGCCUGCAGCGGGGGAGGAGAAGUUCCCCGCAGGAAAAUCAGAGUGCUGGGCUGGCGAAAUAACAGAUCCCCACUACAAUAACGGAAGGUCUCCUGUGCCCUCACAAAUGUCCUCCCUCGCCACAUUACAGUGAGUGGUUUCUGCUUACUCACUUAUUCCUCACACAGAACCCUCUGAAGCCGACGCUGAGCCACGGAGAACUGUCUCCCUAUCACCACGCACCAGAACUACUUCCAGCUUUGAUUUAUUGCACACAUCGCUUCUAUCUUACCAACCAGAACAUGAUAUAUAUGGAGAGAGCAGAGAAGUAUGGCAGGAGGAGAGAGAAUCAAAGGAUCACUAAACAGAACUUUCAAGACAGAGACCUCCGACGCUCUAUGUUAAGUAGUUUGUAUGCCUGUGAAUAAAAGCUCUCCCCACCCACCAAACUUGAAAAGGAUCUGCUUCACAUAAAGAAGAUCCUAUUUGAGCAGAAAUCAGUGUGGGUGUUGGGCGGGUAGGUGGGUUUGUAUUUGUUCGGGCACAGGGCUGAGGGGUGUCAGACUGACCUAUUCCAGGUGUGGAACAGCCGACUGGGCGGCCCUUAUCAGGGCUUAAGUUGCAGGUUGGCC